rnacentral:rRNA from 1 species
AGUGAACGCUGGCGGUAGGCCUAACACAUGCAAGUCGAACGGCCGCACAGUAAGAGCUUGCUCUUACGGGUGGCGAGUGGCGGACGGGUGAGGAAUACAUCGGAAUCUACUUUUUCGUGGGGAAUAUCGUGGGAAAGGUUCCACUAAUACAUAAUAUAAUCAACGGGGGAAAUCAGUGGUUCUUGGCACUUUUGCUGUUUGAUAUAGCUGAUGUCGGUUUAGCUAGUUGGGGGGGUAAAGGCCCACCAAGGCAACGAUCCGUAGCUGGUCUGAGAGGAUGAUCAGCCACACUGGAACUGAGACACGGUCCAGACUCCUACGGGAGGCAGCAGUGGGGAAUAUUGGACAAUGGGCGAAAGCCUGAUCCAGCCAUACCGCGUGGGUGAAGAAGGCCUUCGGGUUGUAAAACCCUUUUGUUGGGAAAGAAAAGCAGCAGGUUAAUACCCCGCUGUUCUGACGGUACCCAAAGAAUAAGCACCGGCUAACUUCGUG